rnacentral:rRNA from 1 species
UACCAGCACCCCGAGUGGUCGGGACGUUUAUUGGGCCUAAAGCAUCCGUAGCCGGUUCUACAAGUCUUCCGUUAAAUCCACCUGCUUAACAGAUGGGCUGCGGAAGAUACUAUAGAGCUAGGAGGCGGGAGAGGCAAGCGGUACUCGAUGGGUAGGGGUAAAAUCCGUUGAUCCAUUGAAGACCACCAGUGGCGAAGGCAAUUGACUAUUCCAUUUCUGACGUUGAGGCAUGAAAGCGUGGGGAGCAAACCGG